UACGUAGGGCGCAAGCGUUAUCCGGAAUUAUUGGGCGUAAAGAGCUCGUAGGCGGUUUGUCGCGUCUGCCGUGAAAGUCCGGGGCUCAACUCCGGAUCUGCGGUGGGUACGGGCAGACUAGAGUGAUGUAGGGGAGACUGGAAUUCCUGGUGUAGCGGUGAAAUGCGCAGAUAUCAGGAGGAACACCGGUGGCGAAGGCGGGUCUCUGGGCCGUAACUGACGCUGAGGAGCGAAAGCGUGGGGAGUAAACAGG
rnacentral:rRNA from 1 species